UGCAGUCGACGAUGACCACUUCGGUGGGGAUUAGUGGCGAACGGGUGAGUAACACGUGGGCAAUCUGCCCUGCACUCUGGGACAAGCCCUGGAAACGGGGUCUAAUACCGGAUAUUGACCUUCACGGGCAUCUGUGAGGUUCGAAAGCUCCGGCGGUGCAGGAUGAGCCCGCGGCCUAUCAGCUUGUUGGUGAGGUAAUGGCUCACCAAGGCGACGACGGGUAGCCGGCCUGAGAGGGCGACCGGCCACACUGGGACUGAGACACGGCCCAGACUCCUACGGGAGGCAGCAGUGGGGAAUAUUGCACAAUGGGCGAAAGCCUGAUGCAGCGACGCCGCGUGAGGGAUGACGGCCUUCGGGUUGUAAACCUCUUUCAGCAGGGAAGAAGCGAAAGUGACGGUACCUGCAGAAGAAGCGCCGGCUAACUACGUGCCAGCAGCCGCGGUAAUACGUAGGGCGCAAGCGUUGUCCGGAAUUAUUGGGCGUAAAGAGCUCGUAGGCGGCUUGUCACGUCGGUUGUGAAAGCCCGGGGCUUAACCCCGGGUCUGCAGUCGAUACGGGCAGGCUAGAGUUCGGUAGGGGAGAUCGGAAUUCCUGGUGUAGCGGUGAAAUGCGCAGAUAUCAGGAGGAACACCGGUGGCGAAGGCGGAUCUCUGGGCCGAUACUGACGCUGAGGAGCGAAAGC
rnacentral:rRNA from 1 species